AGAGUUUGAUCAUGGCUCAGAAUCAACGCUGGCGGCGUGCCUAACACAUGCAAGUCGCACGAGAAAGGGGCUUCGGCUCUGAGUAAAGUGGCGCACGGGUGAGUAACACGUGAAUUAUCUACCUCCGAGUGGGGAAUAACUGAGAGAAAUCUUAGCUAAUACCGCAUAACACUUACGAGUCAAAGCAGCAAUGCGCUUGGAGAGGAGUUCGCGGCCGAUUAGUUAGUUGGCGGGGUAAUGGCCCACCAAGACGAUGAUCGGUAUCCGGCCUGAGAGGGCGCACGGACACACUGGAACUGAAACACGGUCCAGACUCCUACGGGAGGCAGCAGUGGGAAUUUUGCGCAAUGGGGGAAACCCUGACGCAGCAACGCCGCGUGGAGGAUGAAAUCCCUUGGGAUGUAAACUCCUUUCGAUAGGGAAGAUAAUGACGGUACCUAUAGAAGAAGCCCCGGCUAACUUCGUGCCAGCAGCCGCGGUAAUACGAGGGGGGCAAGCGUUGUUCGGAAUUAUUGGGCGUAAAGGGUGCGUAGGCGGUUUGGCAAGUCUUAUGUGAAAUCUUCGGGCUCAACCCGAAGCCUGCAUGAGAAACUGCCGGGCUUGAGUAUGGGAGAGGUGAGUGGAAUUUCCGGUGUAGCGGUGAAAUGCGUAGAUAUCGGAAGGAACACCUGUGGCGAAAGCGGCUCACUGGACCAUAACUGACGCUGAGCACGAAAGCUAGGGGAGCAAACAGGAUUAGAUACCCUGGUAGUCCUAGCCCUAAACGAUGAUUGCUUGAUGUGGCAGUACCCAAUCCUGCCGUGUCGAAGCUAACGCGAUAAGCAAUCCGCCUGGGAGUACGUCGCAAGCUGAAACUCAAGAAUGACGGGGCCGCACAAGCGGUGGAGCAUGUGGUUAAUUCGA
rnacentral:rRNA from 1 species